rnacentral:rRNA from 1 species
AGCAGUAGCCGCGGUAAUACGUAGGGUGCAAGCGUUAAUCGGAAUUACUGGGCGUAAAGCGUGCGCAGGCGGUUAUAUAAGACAGAUGUGAAAUCCCCGGGCUCAACCUGGGAACUGCAUUUGUGACUGUAUAGCUAGAGUACGGCAGAGGGGGAUGGAAUUCCGCGUGUAGCAGUGAAAUGCGUAGAUAUGCGGAGGAACACCGAUGGCGAAGGCAAUCCCCUGGGCCUGUACUGACGCUCAUGCACGAAAGCGUGGGGAGCAAACAGGAUUAGAUACCCGAGUAGUCCCUGUCUCUUAUAC